AACAACUACGUAAGCUUGAUAAAAUCUAUUUAAAUGGUGCAAUGAUAAGAUGAGUUUUAUAAAUUACAAAGUUUUUUUUUUCAUAAGUUAUAAAUUACAAAGUGAUAAGAAUAUUUUUUACAUACAAAGAACAAUAAUGAAUGGAAUUGUCAAGUUUGUUUAUGUCAUUAUCAUCUUUAUUUCUUUAUUUUUUGUUGCGAGGAGUGCUGAGAUCUACGUCCCCGACGAGAUUAUUAAUUGUAAGAGUUUCUUGGAUUGUCCAUAUGAUAUGUGCCGACGUUAUUUUGAACCAAAGUGUAAGAAGAGCAUUUGUAAAUGUUUUCGAUGGAUGGAUGACCCUUUGUAAAAGUUCUAGACCAAGAAAGUACUAAUGUCAAUCUACAAUAUUCAAUUAGUUGCAAUUUUGUUGGAACUCAAUAAAUUUGGUGGGAUCAUGUUCCUACUAGUGUGUUAGAAGCA